rnacentral:rRNA from 1 species
UACGAGGGGGCAAGCGUUGUUCGGAAUUAUUGGGCGUAAAGGAGCCCGCAGGCGGCUUGGCAAGUUUGAGGUGAAAUCUCCCGGCUUAACUGGGAGGGGCCUCGAAAACUGCCAGGCUUGAGGCAUGGAGAGGGAUGCGGAAUUCCCGGUGUAGUGGUGAAAUGCGUAGAUAUCGGGAGAACACCAGUGGCGAAGGCGGAGCAUCCUCGGCCAUGGUCCCUGACGCUCAGGGGCGAAAGCGUGGGAGCAAACCGG